GGAAGUAAAAGUCGUAACAAGGUCUCCGUUGGUGAACCAGCGGAGGGAUCAUUAAAAGAGCGUAAAACCCUCUCAAACCCGUGAACUUUACCAUAUUGUUGCUUCGGUGGGCGGCCCCUGGGAGGGGCUGUAGCCCGCGAGGGCGCUCGCCGAAUGCCCUAAACUAUUUUUUGUUGUAGUAUCUGAGCCUAAGACAUAACUGUCAAAACUUUCAACAACGGAUCUCUUGGUUCUGGCAUCGAUGAAGAACGCAGCGAAAUGCGAUACGUAAUGUGAAUCGCAGAACUCAGUGAAUCAUCGAAUCUUUGAACGCACAUUGCGCCCGCCAGUAUUCUGGCGGGCAUGCCUGUUCGAGCGUCAUUUCCACCCUCAGGCCAUGGGCCUGGUGUUGGGGGCUUGCGGCCGCCGCAACCUCUGAAAAGUAUUGGCGGGCGUACAACAGUCCCGAGCGCAGUAGUUUACACACGCUCGCGGUUCUGCGGUGUCUCCCGCGGUAUAAAUACCCUUAAAAAGGUUGACCUCGGAUCAGGGAGGAAUACCCGCUGAACUUAAGCAUAUCAAUAAGCGGAGGA
rnacentral:rRNA from 1 species